UCAAGUUACCAAAGAACAGCAGAAGCAAUGAAAGGAUUAACUCUACAUAUCACAAGACAACUUACGUUCAUCUUGACUUUGCAAUGUUACCAGUUAACCAAAAGGGGAAAUGGUAUUAGCCUCUUUCUCACUAUUCACCACUCAUCACCUGCACAACACACAUCGUCACUACGCACCCACUUCAGAGCGUGACAACCUAUUUUUUUUUUCUGGUAGCAAUAAUUCAGUGUCACUCUCCUUUCUCGUAUUGAUUACUGAACAUCACCUCGACUACAGAUAGACUCAAGACGAGUUAGUUCCCACGGCCCCGCACCGCUACCAAGCCAGCCAACCAACCAACCAACCAACCAACCAACCAACCAGCCAGCCAGCCACCCAACCAGCCGUGGGAGGAAAAGGACUGUGUGGGAAGGGGCGCCGUUAACCCGUACCUACUUACAAGAAAUUAACAUUUUCAGAUAUGAUAUAAUUUGGAUGGGAUUGUCCACCAUUCUUCACGGGAAAGAACACUUCCUCACACUCAGUCUUCACCGUGGCGGGAGCAGACGGUGGCGGGUUGGGGCGUGGGAAGUCACCCGGUGGCAGCAUCGUCUCGUACACCUGUGAUGAUGUUCCUUGUCCCGAGCUGGAGGAUUCGUCCACCACCACCCGUGGCAUCGGUCCGGUGUUGUUCUGUUCCUUCUCCCGUGACGUGAUCGAAGACCCUGAAGGAGGAAAACAGCGGGGCUGUGAAGAAGCGGCGUCGAACUCGUCCUCGUCACCGACACCUCCCGCCGGCUGAGACUCCAGCUGGGACGUCUGAGGUUCCACGCAGCCAGCGCUUUUCUGUAAAAUGAGUUGUUAAUUCAUUAUAGUGUCAGGCAUAGUAAUGUUUGCGAUAAAUAUGAUAAAUGAAUUUUAUACGUAAUGGUUUUGAGAAAAUAAAGUUUAGUAAUUA